rnacentral:rRNA from 1 species
AACGAACGCUGGCGGCAUGCCUAACACAUGCAAGUCGAACGAGACCUUCGGGUCUAGUGGCGCACGGGUGCGUAACGCGUGGGAACCUGCCCUUAGGUUCGGAAUAACUCCCCGAAAGGGGUGCUAAUACCGGAUAAUGUCUUCGGACCACAGAUUUAUCGCCCUUGGAUGGGCCCGCGUUGGAUUAGCUAGUUGGUAGGGUAAAAGCCUACCAAGGCGACGAUCCAUAGAUGGUCUGAGAGGAUCAGCAGCCACACUGGGACGAGGACACGGUCCGGAAUCUUACAGGAUGCAGGAGUGGCGAAUACUGCAAUACCGCGGGAAUGAUGAUGCCGCUCGGCCGGUUGAGCGAUGAAGGCCGGAGGGUUGUAAAGCACUUUAAUCCGGGAGGAUAAUGACGGUACCGGGAGAAUAAGCACCGGCUAACUCCGUG